UACAGAGGUGGCAAGCGUUGUUCGGAAUUACUGGGCGUAAAGGGCGCGUAGGCGGUCUUUUAAGUUCCGUGUGAAAUCCCUCGGCUCAACUGGGGGAACGCACGGGAAACUGGAAGGCUUGAGUUCGGGAGAGGGAAGCGGAAUUCCGGGUGUAGCGGUGAAAUGCGUAGAUAUCGAGGAGGAACACCUGCGGUGUGAGACGGCUUACUGGACCAUAACUGACGCUGAGGCACGAAAGCGUGGGUAGCAACAGG
rnacentral:rRNA from 1 species